UACUUGACACCUGUGUUGCCUUUCAAUGG
rnacentral:piRNA from 1 species